CUUGCUUUCUUUGCUGGCGACCGGCGCACGGGUGAGUAACACGUAUCCAACCUGCCCUUUACUCGGGGAUGGCCUUUCGAAAGAAAGAUUAAUACCCGAUAGCAUAAUGAUUCCGCAUGGUUUCAUUAUUAAAGGAUUCCGGUAAAGGAUGGGGAUGCGUUCCAUUAGGUUGUUGGUGGGGUAACGGCCCACCAAGCCUUCGAUGGAUAGGGGUUCUGAGAGGAAGGUCCCCCACAUUGGAACUGAGACACGGUCCAA
rnacentral:rRNA from 1 species